rnacentral:rRNA from 1 species
UACAGAGGUCUCAAGCGUUGUCCGGAUUCAUUGGGCGUAAAGGGUGCGUAGGUGGCGCGGUAAGUCGGGUGUGAAAUCUCGGAGCUUAACUCCGAAAUUGCAUUCGAUACUGCCGUGCUUGAGGACUGGAGAGGAGACUGGAAUUUACGGUGUAGCGGUGAAAUGCGUAGAUAUCGUAAGGAAGACCAGUGGCGAAGGCGGGUCUCUGGACAGUUCCUGACGCUGAGGCACGAAGGCCAGGGGAGCAAACGGG